UCGGGAAUUUUGGGCAAUGGGCGAAAGCCUGACCCAGCAACGCCGCGUGAAGGAUGAAAUCUUUCGGGAUGUAAACUUCGGAAGAAUAGGAAGAAUAAAAUGACGGUACUAUUUUAAGGUCCGGCUAACUACGUGCCAGCAGCCGCGGUAAUACGUAGGGACCAAGCGUUGUUCGGAUUUACUGGGCGUAAAGGGCGCGUAGGCGGCGUAAUAAGUCACUUGUGAAAUCUCCGGGCUUAACUCGGAGCGGCCAAGUGAUACUGUUAGGCUAGAGUGCAGAAAGGGCAAUCGGAAUUCUUGGUGUAGCGGUGAAAUGCGUAGAUAUCAAGAGGAACACCUGAGGCGAAGGCGGGUUGCUAGGCUGACACUGACGCUGAGGCGCGAAAGCUAGGGUAGCAAACGGGAUUAGAUACCCAUGUAGUCCCUGAGCGGGCUGGCAAGGCGCAU
rnacentral:rRNA from 1 species